rnacentral:rRNA from 1 species
UAGCAUAUGCUUGUCUCAAAGAUUAAGCCAUGCAUGUCUAAGUACAAGCCCCCCUGGGGCGAAACCGCGAAUGGCUCAAUAAAUCAGUUAUGGUUCCUUAGAUCGUACUAUCCUACUUGGAUAACUGUGGUAAUUCUAGAGCUAAUACAUGCACACAAGCCCUGACCUUACGGGAGGGGUGCUUUUAUUAGAUCAAGACCAAUCGGGCUUCGGUCCGUAUCUUGGUGACUCUGAAUAACUUUGUGCCGAUCGCAUGGUCUAGCACCGGCGACGCAUCUUUCAAAUGUCUGCCUUAUCAACUGUCGAUGGUAGGUUAUGCGCCUACCAUGGUUGCAACGGGUAACGGGGAAUCGGGGUUCGAUUCCGGAGAGGGAGCCUGAGAAACGGCUACCACAUCCAAGGAAGGCAGCAGGCGCGCAAAUUACCCACUCCCGGCACGGGGAGGUAGUGACGAAAAAUAACGAUGCAGGACUCAUCCGAGGCCCUGUGAUUGGAAUGAGUACACUUUAAAUCCUUUAACGAGGACCUAUU